rnacentral:rRNA from 1 species
UAAGGCCCUUCGGGGUACACGAGUGGCGAACGGGUGAGUAACACGUGGGUGAUCUGCCCUGCACUUUGGGAUAAGCCUGGGAAACUGGGUCUAAUACCGAAUAUACCCUGCUGGUCGCAUGGCCUGGUGGGGGAAAGCUUUUGCGGUGUGGGAUGGGCCCGCGGCCUAUCAGCUUGUUGGUGGGGUGAUGGCCUACCAAGGCGACGACGGGUAGCCGGCCUGAGAGGGUGACCGGCCACACUGGGACUGAGAUACGGCCCAGACUCCUACGGGAGGCAGCAGUGGGGAAUAUUGCACAAUGGGCGCAAGCCUGAUGCAGCGACGCCGCGUGAGGGAUGACGGCCUUCGGGUUGUAAACCUCUUUCAGCAGGGACGAAGCGCAAGUGACGGUACCUGUAGAAGAAGGACCGGCCAACUACGUGCCAGCAGCCGCGGUAAUACGUAGGGUCCGAGCGUUGUCCGGAAUUACUGGGCGUAAAGAGCUCGUAGGUGGUUUGUCGCGUUGUUCGUGAAAACUCACAGCUUAACUGUGGGCGUGCGGGCGAUACGGGCAGACUGGAGUACUGCAGGGGAGACUGGAAUUCCUGGUGUAGCGGUGGAAUGCGCAGAUAUCAGGAGGAACACCGGUGGCGAAGGCGGGUCUCUGGGCAGUAACUGACGCUGAGGAGCGAAAGCGUGGGGAGCGAACAGGAUUAGAUACCCUGGUAGUCCACGCCGUAAACGGUGGGUACUAGGUGUGGGUUUCCUUCCUUGGGAUC